UUAGCCGAGUUAGCCGGCCACGAAAAAUGCUCUUCCCGGCCUGAAAUGCGGCCGGAAAGUGCGUACUUUCGGCUAGGGGAGCAAGAAAAAACUCUUUCCACAGACGCUUUAUUCAGUUUUUUCCCAGUUUUUCGAGACUCCCUUGAUGAAGAAUCUUGGCAGAAAGGAGUCGCGACGAAUGCCCGAAUAUUUUGUCCGCAAACGAUAACAAUGAAAUAAUAAAAACUGAGUAUAGCGUAAAUAUCAAUUAAAAAGGAAAAUAUUCAAUAGAUUUUGAUUAAAUUUGCUUUAGAACACUCUCUGCCGCUCACAGAAGGACAAGCACAAAAUUGGUUAAGACAACUAUCACCGUUUUCGAGAAAACUGGCGACAAAGGAAUAACCCCCCACCCACUGAUCGCAGUGAAACGCAUAACUCCCGUCUUUUGGCCCUGCGGGCAGUCGGGAGUUAAAAAUUCCAAAACUUCGAAAUAAAAUAAGCUAUUAUCGCGGGACGAACCGAUCUAAUGGAAAAAACGAAAAGUGUAAAAAAAAAUCCAUAAAAAAAAUUAUAAAACCAAGUGUAAAUAAUUUCAACAGAGCAAUUAGAAAAAAAUUUCACACCGACGCCCCAUUCUUUUUAUCUUAUUCUAAAAGCUAAAUCAAUUGACAAAAAAAAAUUCCAUCUAAGUUACGUGCAGCAUUAAAAUUUAUGAUAUCAAUUCGAGGCCAAGUAUUUAAUGGUAAUUCGGAAUAUUCAUUCUUAUGGGGGAAUCAUCAGGAGCUUGAGAGAGUUCUAGGAUGAAAAAAGUUACCAUUUGAGUUACGUGCAGCCCUAAAAUUUAUGAUAUUAAUCGGAGGACAAGCGUUUUAUUAGCAAUCCCGAGUUUGAACGAAAUUGUUCUAUGGAGCGUUUAAAUAAAUAAAAAAAUCACAUAAAAGGUAUUGUAAUUUGUUACUCUAUGGUGGCAGAGAUUUAGAAGAUAAUCGAUUCCCCUCAGACUUUCAGGAUCCCCUGGUACUAUUGACAAUAUUCGACGUCGAUUUUGGAUGGGUACAUCUAAUGGAAAAAACGAAUAAAGGAGAAACGAUUGGUGCGCCAUGGAUGGGGACUGGCGCGCGUGAUUUACGAGCACUAAUCGUAACGGUCAUGAUUACAGUGAGCGUGCAAUAAAAAAGUGGACAAAGCAAAGGAGAUAAUCUUUUUUCGCUCGAGCGGAUGUAUCCUUGACCCAAGGCAAAAUGGCCGUCGCAGCGUGGAAGAAAAAAGGAGGAAGGGAGAAGAUUGAAAGCAAAAAACGUCAAGUUAUCGAAACGAUAGGAGCAGAUAGAGAUGAUUCGUGUGUGAACAAAUGAAACGGGUAUUCCCCUGUCGGUUCAUUUGACCGGGCUCUGCGAGAUGUUUGAAGCGGCCAGACGGUGGAGAAGAACAAGAAGAAGAAGAGGAAGGAAGAUCGUGAGAAAUCGUAAGGGUCACGUGCCGAUGCGAGCGCGAAGAAUAUUACGCUUCGGAGCUUUUUCAGCUUGAAGGUUAACCGGAGGAUGUGCCAGGCGGCCAUUACCGUUUACGAUAGAGAUCUGUGAGAAGAUGAACUGAAAGGAGUACAAAGAGAAUGAAGACAAAACACGCUCGAGGCAUAACGUUGCUCGUUGGAUUCAGAAGUCUUGGAGAUUCGAUCGAAUGAACAGAUCAAAUCAAAAAUCGAACAUACGAAUGUUCAGGAACUCCGAGCCGAAGAGGAAGAAGCGAUCGGGAAUGUUAAUGAGUGCAUUUUAAUUCCGACUGAUUUUAUCGAGCUUAUACAAAUACAAACGCUCGGAUGCACCCUUCGAAAAGUCAUUUUUCAUUCCGAACUUCCGAGCGAGUUUUUCCGGAUCCAAGAGGAAUUGAGAUUCCGGGGAAUUUAUCGCGGAUACGAAUGCCUCGGCGAGAUCAGCUCGAACGGAAAUCCAUCGAAACCGGACGGCUCGUAUGUCGUAUACUCUUAAAAAAAUGUUCGCGCUAAUAUCGAUAAACUAUCGAAACUUUGGAAUCGAACCUCGUUACCGGAGGCGUGAAAACGUUUUGGCUUCAAGGCACAUUUGUCCGUCGGUCCAUUGGGAGACUUGAAUGCUUAAAUGGGAAGAUAUUUAAAUAAUUAUCGUCAUUCGAGAGGCCUCAAGUGUUUUUGGGAGUCUGACGAUUCAACAGAUCAACCAAUCGAUGUGUUGGCGUUGAAAACUUUCUGGAGGUUACCUCAUCGAGUUUUUUUUUUCGAAGCAAUAAAAAGAAGAAAUAUAAAACCCAGCGAGGCAAACGAUUUUGAAAAAUGUCGAUUAUUGACGUUCCAUAAAAAUGAUUGAAUCAUCAAAAUCGUCCGAGUUUUUUUACUCGGUCGUCGAUGUAUGCACGAAUUUUGAAACGGGACCGGUACGAGCACGUUGGCAUUGGUACGAUUUUUCUCAUGGAUAAAAUAUGCAUAAUUCCCGUUGGUUAAGUGAAUUGAAGCAGCGGUUGUACUACAGAAAAUGUGAUACUAGAUAUCGUACCGAGAGUCGCGAGUGCGUGGCGGCGAGUGGACUUUCUAAAAACGGCAUUUAAUAUUCACGAAUGCCUCAGGGUGUUGACGAUCGUUGAAACACGACUCGGCACGCCAUAUUUCUCUUACUUUACAAUUAUAUAUUUAUAUACAUGUGGAAAUAGAAUCAUGAAUAAUGAAAAAUCACAGCUGUCGAUCAAGUUUUCGGACAGCUUAUUAAUUAUCAAUGAUUUUUAUUAAUUCACGAAAAACGGGCACUUGCAAUUUUGCUUUUGCUGUCAUUCGAUUGUCGCGUU
rnacentral:lncRNA from 1 species